rnacentral:rRNA from 1 species
AUUGAACGCUGGCGGAAUGCUUUACACAUGCAAGUCGAACGGCAGCACGGGAGCAAUCCUGGUGGCGAGUGGCGAACGGGUGAGUAAUACAUCGGAACGUGCCCAAUCGUGGGGGAUAACGCAGCGAAAGCUGUGCUAAUACCGCAUAAGAUCUACGGAUGAAAGCAGGGGACCGCAAGGCCUUGUGCGAAUGGAGCGGC